AAGUUUUCCUUAUUGUAACUAUUUAACACGUUGAUUUAGACUAAUUUACCCUAAAAUUUGUAUGUACGAUGAAGUUUGCCUCUAUCUUUUAAGAUUCCUUCAUUCGGGUUAGCUUUGGCAGGAGGACGGACUAUAUAAUGAGGUGAUUCACCACCGGCGCGCAGUAGUCAUUGAGACACAGAGGGAGGAGGUGUUGCCGGUCGUCUUUCUCACCUGACCGGUGAUGUUUUUUAAAUCCAUAGAUGAUGACUUGAAGAUGGAGGAUGCAAGAAAUGAUAGUUUUCUUCUGGUGAACUCUCCCUGCACUGCACCAAAAAACGUCAGGUUCUGGACCUUAUUAAGGAGAGGUGUGCACUCUGCUGUACCACUCAUCUUGUACUGCUGUACCAGGAUGGCAAGUGAUUCACAACACAACUAAAGGAAGCAAGUGCCAAGAUACAGCCCAGACCCAGCCUUCCACCCCUCCUCUCUACCUCAGAAAUGUUCUGAACACUGGAGUGCUGUGCUGCCCUAGGCUGUGCUUACUGGCCACUGCCCUGUACUUGCUGCUGCCCUAGACUUCCCUGUACUUGCUUGCUACUGCCCUGGACGGCUCUGCUCUGUGUGUGCUGGCUGCUGUCCUAGACAUGACUGCUCUGCUCUGUGUGCUGCUGCCCUGGACGGCUCUGCUCUGUGCUUGCUGCUGCCCUGGAUGGCUCUGCUCUGUGCAUGCUGGCUGCUGCCCUGGAUGGCUCUGCUAUGUUCUGUGUGUGCUGCCCUGGAUGGCUCUGCUCUGUGCUUGCUGCCCUGGACUACAAAUUUAUAGAGCCAUUAAGUUUCCAUUAAUAAAUGUCUGAAUGUCA
rnacentral:lncRNA from 1 species